rnacentral:rRNA from 1 species
GACGAACGCUGGCGGCGUGCCUAAUACAUGCAAGUCGAACGCACAGUUUAUACCGCCGCUUGCUACACCAUAAACUGUGAGUUGCGAACGGGUGAGUAACGCGUAGGUAACCUGCCUGGUAGCGGGGGAUAACUAUUGGAAACGAUAGCUAAUACCGCAUAAUAUUGAUUAUUGCAUGAUAAUUGAUUGAAAGAUGCUAUUGCAUCACUACCAGAUGGACCUGCGUUGUAUUAGCUAGUAGGUGAGGUAACGGCUCACCUAGGCGACGAUACAUAGCCGACCUGAGAGGGUGAUCGGCCACACUGGGACUGAGACACGGCCCAGACUCCUACGGGAGGCAGCAGUAGGGAAUCUUCGGCAAUGGACGAAAGUCUGACCGAGCAACGCCGCGUGAGUGAAGAAGGUUUUCGGAUCGUAAAGCUCUGUUGUAAGAGAAGAACGGGUGUGAGAGUGGAAAGUUCACACUGUGACGGUAGCUUACCAGAAAGGGACGGCUAACUACGUG